rnacentral:tRNA from 1 species
GGGCCUUUAGCUGGGCUGGUAGAGCGCUACGUUUACGCCGUAGAUGUCGUCAGUUCGAUGAUCCGGCAGGCCCGCCA